rnacentral:rRNA from 1 species
GAUGAACGCUAGCUACAGGCUUAACACAUGCAAGUCGAGGGGCAGCGGGAAUCUAGCUUGCUAGAUUUGCCGGCGACCGGCGCACGGGUGAGUAACACGUAUCCAACCUGGCCCAUACUCGGGUAUAGCCUCUCGAAAGGGAGAUUAAUCCCCGAUGUUGUUGGAUUACCGCAUGGUUUUUCAACCAAAGAAUUUCGGUAUGGGAUGGGGAUGCGUUCCAUUAGCUUGUUGGCGGGGUAACGGCCCACCAAGGCAACGAUGGAUAGGGGUUCUGAGAGGAAGGUCCCCCACACUGGAACUGAGACACGGUCCAGACUCCUACGGGAGGCAGCAGUGAGGAAUAUUGGUCAAUGGUCGUAAGACUGAACCAGCCAAGUAGCGUGAAGGAUGACUGCCCUAUGGGUUGUAAACUUCUUUUGUUUGGGAAUAAAGUUCGGGACGUGUCCCGUUUUGUAUGUACCAUUCGAAUAAGCAUCGGCUAAUUCCGUG